GACGAACGCUGGCGGCGCGCCUAACACAUGCAAGUCGAACGAGCGAGAGAGAGCUUGCUUUCUCGAGCGAGUGGCGAACGGGUGAGUAACGCGUGAGGAACCUGCCUCAAAGAGGGGGACAACAGUUGGAAACGACUGCUAAUACCGCAUAAGCCCACGGUGCCGCAUGGCACAGAGGGAAAAGGAGCAAUCCGCUUUGAGAUGGCCUCGCGUCCGAUUAGCUAGUUGGUGAGGUAACGGCCCACCAAGGCGACGAUCGGUAGCCGGACUGAGAGGUUGAACGGCCACAUUGGGACUGAGACACGGCCCAGACUCCUACGGGAGGCAGCAGUGGGGAAUAUUGCACAAUGGGGGAAACCCUGACGCAGCGACGCCGCGUGGAGGAAGAAGGUCUUCGGAUUGUAAACUCCUGUUGUUGGGGAAGAUAAUGACGGUACCCAACAAGGAAGUGACGGCUAACUACGUGCCAGCAGCCGCGGUAAAACGUAGGUCACGAGCGUUGUCCGGAAUUACUGGGUGUAAAGGGAGCGCAGGCGGGAAGACAAGUUGGAAGUGAAAUCUAUGGGCUCAACCCAUAAACUGCUUUCAAAACUGUUUUUCUUGAGUAGUGCAGAGGUAGGCGGAAUUCCCGGUGUAGCGGUGGAAUGCGUAGAUAUCGGGAGGAACACCAGUGGCGAAGGCGGCCUACUGGGCACCAACUGACGCUGAGGCUCGAAAGUGUGGGUAGCAAACAGGAUUAGAUACCCUGGUAGUCCACACCGUAAACGAUGAUUAAUAGGUGUUGGAGGAUUGACCCCUUCAGUGCCGCAGUAACACAAUAAGUA
rnacentral:rRNA from 1 species